rnacentral:rRNA from 1 species
CCUACGGGAGGCUGCAGUGAGGAAUAUUGGUCAAUGGACGAGAGUCUGAACCAGCCAAGUAGCGUGAAGGAGGACUGCCCUGUGGGUUGUAAACUUCUUUUAUAUGGGAAUAAAAUGUUCCACGUGUGGGAUUUUGUAUGUACCAUAUGAAUAAGGAUCGGCUAACUCCGUGCCAGCAGCCGCGGUAAUACGGAGGAUCCGAGCGUUAUCCGGAUUUAUUGGGUUUAAAGGGAGCGUAGGUGGAUUGUUAAGUCAGUUGUGAAAGUUUGCGGCUCAACCGUAAAAUUGCAGUUGAAACUGGCAGUCUUGAGUACAGUAGAGGUGGGCGGAAUUCGUGGUGUAGCGGUGAAAUGCUUAGAUAUCACGAAGAACUCCGAUUGCGAAGGCAGUUCACUGGACUGCAACUGACACUGAGGCUCGAAAGUGUGGGUAUCAAACAGGAUUAGAUACUCUUGUAGUC